AUGGUUACGAUCCCAGCCGUCAUGCAACACGGGUGGUGCUGCUUCAAUUGGGACGUGAUGGCCCAUGUUAUAACCAUCAUGGACCCAAUGUUAUACCAGACGGAGGACACGUCACGCAAAACUUGCCUUAUGUACGCGGCCGAGAAGAUACAUGACGCCCUUUUCAAUUGCAUCGAAGAAUUCUUCACCGAGUGGCACUGCAGCAGACUUUCAUGGACGAAGAAGACACCUCUACUAUCCACUACAACAUUCACAAGGGCCGAGAGUGUCCUGUGUGUCGCCCACUUACUAAGACACUUCAAUGGGAAUUCACUGGCAAAACCUCUUACAAGGACAGCUAUUGCCAACGAAAGGGACUCACUCCUCAUCGAGCUGAUCCACAUGGAAGGCAACACCGCCCCCCUGCAGCUGGAAGGACUAGACGUUGUCGCCAACGCGCUGAACGAGUUGAUGAAAGACUCAGGGGUUUAG
rnacentral:rRNA from 1 species